GGGCGUAUAGCUCAGUUGGUAGAGCACCUGUUUUACACACAGGCGGUCAUAGGUUCGAAUCCUUUUGCGCCCA
rnacentral:tRNA from 3 species